GGUUGUCGUCAGCUCGUGUCGUGAGAUGUUGGUUAAGUCCGCAACGAGCGCAACCCCUAUUGUUAGUUGCCAUCAUUCAGUUGGGCACUCUAGCGAGACUGCCGGUAAUAAACCGGAGGAAGGUGGGGAUGACGUCAAAUCAUCAUACCCCUUAUGACCUGGGCUACACACGUGCUACAAUGGUUGGUACAACGAGUUGCGAGUCGGUGACGGCGAGCUAAUCUCUUAAAGCCAAUCUCAGUUCGGAUUGUAGGCUGCAACUCGCCUACAUGAAGUCGGAAUCGCUAGUAAUCGCGGAUCAGCACGCCGCGGUGAAUACGUUCCCGGGCCUU
rnacentral:rRNA from 1 species